UUGUGACACCCAUGGCUGAAGCCCCAUUUAGGGCACCACAGAAAUUCUACACAGAACACAAGGGAUGAGGCUGCACACUCCAUUCUGGGGAAGAGGGCAGCCAAGACUGUCUCCCACUCUUUGGUCUGAGUAGUGGCCUUGCAUCAAAUCAUUAUGUUCAUAGGCCACAUGCUUUAUCUUCCCACCUAGGACAUGGAUCCUUGCUCACCCCUUUCCUUUCCCAGAGGUAAAAUGGACAGAACGAGGACCCGUGUUUGAGUACCCAAAGAAUGGCAGGACUCCCUCAGUGGAGGCAGACUGUAUUUAAAUGCAAUUCACCUCUUUGGGGUCUGAGAAAAGCCACCUGUAGAUUCAUUUGCUGGGGAACACGGUCUGUAUGGCCGAGGCAGCGGGCACCGGGGUCAUGGUCUUGCCCAAACUUGACUUCCUUCGGAGGUCUGUUUGCUGUCCAGAAUGGCAGCCGCUUCGGUGGGCGAAUAGGACGGUCAUCUCUGGGCCUGAGGGGGCUGCUUCAGGCUGGGACCCCUUCAGGGUGGCAGGCUGUUCAGGCUUUCCUGAGGUGGGAUGGGAGGUGUACUGCUUGGCAGGAGGAGGGCUGUAAUUCUGAAAUCUCACGGUUUUGACUUGCUGCAAGAGAAAGGAGAGCAAAAGGACCCAGAGAUCUGUGUCUGCUCUGAGGGCCUACUAUGCAUCAUGCUGUGAGGUGCCAUGAAUCCAAGAGCAGACAAAAGUGCCCCGACAGACAGAUGGGUUAAAACAAGUGCUGUGCUGGCCAAAGUGUAUUUGCUUGAGCACAUCUCUGACUGAGGGCUUAAUCGUGUUCUGUGCUACUGUUUAGAAAUCGUUUGCUUUCCAUGGAAUUGGAUCCUAGUGUCCCCCACUGAGAAUGUGAGUGUCUGCGUACUUGGGAUGCUCUCUACAUCUUGCAGAGGUCUGGGCACUUAUUAAAUGCUGAUUGUUCAGGGCUGUUAUCUAACAGCCUGUGGUAAGGGCAACUGGGGGCUGAAAACUGGAAUCUGAAUACUAAAAUUCAGAAAAACAACCCCUAACGUAUAUAUAAGCCAACACUAACUGUUUCCAAAUGCCUUUUCUUACAUGCUGAUAGCUUAGCAUGAAGAGCAUGAGUUUUUCUAUCAGAUAUGGAUUCUACUGCAGACACUGCCAUGUGUCAGCUGUGUGCCUUUGGAUAAUGUACCGUAACUCCUUCCACCUCCAUGUCCUCAUUUUAAAAUGAAGGUGACAGUAAUAAUACCUCCUUGUUGAGAAUAAUAGUAUCUACUUCAGAGGGUUACUGUCAGGAUUAAGUGAGGUGAGACAUGUCAAGUCCUCAGUACAGUGCCUGCCAGGUUGUUAGCACUCAGUAAAUACUUAACAAAGAAGAAGAAACCAUACUGUCUUUCCUUUUGGGAUGGAAUUGGUAAUGGUGCUGUGUUGACAGUGGUGAUGAUAGUGGUGAUGAUGGAGACAGUGGUGGUGGGGAUGGUGGUGGUGGUGGUGAUAGUGGUGAUGGUCAUGGUGGUAGGGAUGAUGGAGAUGGAGAUUGUACUGAGGGUGAUGGUGGUGGUGGGGAUGCUGGUAGUGGUGAUUGUAAUAAGGGUGAUAGUGGUAGUUGGGGUGAUGGUCAAUAAACUAAAAACUAACAAUCACCUAGUCUUCUUAAUGUCACCUUUAUCUUACUGUUCCUUUGGCCUCAAGGAUAUUAUUGAGAACCUAAGAUUUUAACAAGAACUCAGGUCUC